UGCCUCAGUAACGGCGAGUGAAGCGGCAACAGCUCAAAUUUGAAAUCUGGCCCUUUCAGGGUCCGAGUUGUAAUUUGGAGAAGAUGCUUCGGGUGUGGCCCCGGUCUAAGUUCCUUGGAACAGGACGUCAUAGAGGGUGAGAAUCCCGUACGUGACCGGUGGCCUCCCCCGUGUGAAGCUCUUUCGACGAGUCGAGUUGUUUGGGAAUGCAGCUCAAAAUGGGUGGUAAAUUUCAUCUAAAGCUAAAUAUUGGCCAGAGACCGAUAGCGCACAAGUAGAGUGAUCGAAAGAUGAAAAGCACUUUGGAAAGAGAGUUAAACAGUACGUGAAAUUGUUGAAAGGGAAGCGCUUGCAACCAGACUUGCGCGCGGCCGAUCAUCUGGUGUUCUCACCGGUGCACUCGGCCGCGCUCAGGCCAGCAUCGGUUUGGGUGGCUGGAUAAAGGCCUCGGGAAUGUGGCUCUCUUCGGGGAGUGUUAUAGCCCGAGGUGCAAUGCAGCCUACCCGGACCGAGGACCGCGCUUCGGCUAGGAUGCUGGCGUAAUGGUUGUAAGCG
rnacentral:rRNA from 1 species